AGCCCUGACCCUGCAGCUCUGAGAGCAGAGCCCAGCCCCCGAAUUCUCAGGUGUUUUCAUUUGGUGAUCAGCGGCAAACACAGAAGACUCACCAUGGAGUUUGUCCUGAGCUGGGUUUUCCUUGCUGCUAUUUUAAAAGGUGUCCAGUGUGAGGUGCAGCUGGUGGAGUCUGGGGGAGGCUUGGUCCAGCCUGAGGGGUCCCUGAGACUCUCCUGUGCAGCCUCUGGAUUCACCUUCAGUGACCACUACAUGAGCUGGGUCCGCCGGGCUCCAGGGAAGGGGCUGGAGUGGGUCGGCCAUAUUAAAAACAAAGCUAACAGUUACACGACAGAAUACGCCGCGUCUGUGAAAGGCAGAUUCACCAUCUCAAGGGAUGAUUCAAAGAACACACUGUACUUGCAAAUGAACAACCUGAAAACCGAGGACACAGCCGUGUAUUACUGUGCUAGAGACACAGUGAGGCGAGGUCAGUGUGAGCCCAGACACAAACCUCCCUGCAGGGGCGCGCGGGGCCACCAGGGGGCGCUCCGGACCCACUGA